UACGUAGGGUGCGAGCGUUGUCCGGAAUUAUUGGGCGUAAAGAGCUUGUAGGCGGUUUGUCGCGUCUGCUGUGAAAUUUCGGGGCUCAACCCCGAACUUGCAGUGGGUACGGGCAGACUAGAGUGUGGUAGGGGAGACUGGAAUUCCUGGUGUAGCGGUGAAAUGCGCAGAUAUCAGGAGGAACACCGAUGGCGAAGGCAGGUCUCUGGGCCACUACUGACGCUGAGGAGCGAAAGCGUGGGUAGCGAACAGG
rnacentral:rRNA from 1 species